ACAGGCAGAGAAUUUGAAGGUGAAGAAGAGUUCCUGGAGAUCCUGGGAAUAACACGAGAGCAGUCAGGCAAAUAUGAGUGCAAAGCUGCAAAUGAGGUUUCUACAGCAGAUGUGAAGCAAGUCCGAGUCACUGUGAAUUACCCGCCAACUAUCACGGAAUCCAAGAGCAAUGUAUCUGCUACAGGGCGGCCAGUUUCACUUAAGUGUGCAGCCUCUGCUGUGCCUACGCCUGAUUUUGAAUGGUACAGAGAUGACACUAGGAUAAAUAGUGCCAAUGGUCUGGAGAUCAGGAGCAUAGGGAGCCAGUCCUUCCUGACAGUGACCAAUGUCACUGAAGAACAUUAUGGCAACUAUACCUGUGUCGCUACCAACAAACUGGGAAUCACAAAUGCUAGCC